rnacentral:misc_RNA from 1 species
UCAAAGGGAGGUAAUUCCACGUUAGACCGAACGGAAGAUUGCCAGAGAACAUGGACGAACAAGGUUGUCCAAGAUGUAAAACAACAAAAUAUCGGAACCCCUCACUGAAAUUACUAGUCAACGUUUGUGGACACUCAUUAUGUGAGAGCUGUGUGGACCUGCUGUUUAUCAAGGGGUCGGGGACAUGUCCAGAAUGUGGCACAGCUCUCCGGAGAAACAACUUCCGACUACAGAUCUUCGAGGACUCCAAUGUGGAGAAAGAACUUGACAUUAGAAAGAGAAUACUUAGAGAUUUCAACAAGAAAGAAGAGGACUUCAGUUCGUUGAGGGAUUUCAAUGACUAUCUGGAGAUGAUUGAGACAAUAGUUUUCAAUCUGUCCAAUGGUAUUGAUGUCGAGAGCACACGCAAGAUGAUAGAACAGUACAGGAAGGACAACAAAGAUCAGAUCAAGAAAAACCUUUCAAAAAUGAGUAAAGACCAGGAGUACCUCGAUCUGCUCAUUGAGCAGGAGAAACAUGAGACCGCAGUUCGACUUCAGAUGAUGGAGGAAGAGGCCGCCAGGGAUAAAGCCUUGAAGAAGAAGAACAAGGCUGCCCUGAUUGAUGAACUGAUGUUUUCGGAACUGCCUGCCACGGACAUUGUGGCCACCCACAGAGAAUGUGUGACCCAACUUGAGGCUGCCACCCGUGCAACUGCUGCCACCACCUUCUCUACCGGGAUAAAGAUAGGUCAUCACGACACCGUUCUGCCACUUCCUGGUUGUGAGGACAAUGACGAUGCAUAUAUGUACCUGCCCUAUAACUUGAACAACAGCGGCCCCAGACUUGUUGCCCAGGAAGAUAUACACAACCUAGGGUACCUCUCUCAUGUCCGCCCAGCAACAGACAUGGAACGUGGUGGAGGUUUUGAAGCCAGGAUAGCCUGCCAGCGAGCUCUCCAUGAUGCUCUUAGCGGACUUUUCUACUUCCCGGAAACUGACAGCAGUUCUGGGCUACAACCUAUGGUCACAUGACUUAUCUAGCAGGCAGCUCUCUGAACAGUGGCAAGCUGUCAACAGAUUCGAGAUUAGUCUGUUUUGAGGUGGCCGAUACACUUCCGCUCUGCCUUGUCCAGAAGUAUUUGCUGGUCUUCAUAUCCAAACAAUAGUGGAAAGGUGCGCAGUGUCCAGCAAGUAUAUAUCAUUUGGUGCACAGACAUUCUCCACCUCGACAGCUCUGACAAGCCUCUGAUGAAGGACUUGUGAUAUAGUGUUUCAGGGAUGUGUGUAAGGCAAGGAUGUGUGUGUGUAUGUCUCUGUUUAAGAUGGAAUGAAAAUUGACACUUGGUGAACACGCGUCCACACUGCAUCAAUAAAAUAGCCAUGUCCGUAGGGUUGAAACCAAUCCUAUUAAAAUAACCCUGUCUAUAGGGUUAAAACUGGUUCUCACUGCAUCAUCAAAAUACACUAUAAUGCCCUAUAAUGCAUUACAUAAUGUCCUUAUCUGCAGGGUAUGUUGUGGUCCUGCAGAACAUGAUGUCCUUAUGUGCAGGGUAUGUUGUGGUCCUGCAGGACAUGAUGUCCUUGUGGACAGGGUAUGUUGUGCUCCUGCAGUACAUGAUGUCCUUGUGGACAGGGUAUGUUGUGCUCCUGCAGUACAUAAUGUCCUUGUGGACAGGGUAUGUUGUGCUCCUGCAGUACAUAAUGUCCUUGUGGACAGGGUAUGUUGUGGUCCUGCAGGACAUGAUGUCCUUGUGGACAGGGUAUGUUGUGGUCCUGCAGGACAUGAUGUCCUUAUGUGCAGCGUAUGUUGUGGUCAUGCGUUACAUAAUGUCCUUGUGUGCAGGGUAAAUUGUGCUCCUGCAGAACAUGAUGUCCCUGUGUGCAGGGUAAAUUGUGCUCCUGCAGAACAUGAUGUCCUCAUGAACAGGGUAUGUUGUGGUCCUGCAGAACAUGAUGUCCUUAUGUGCUGGGUAUGUUGUGGUCCUGCAGAACAUAAUGUCCUUAUGUGCAGGGUAAGUUGUGGUCCUGCAGAACAUAAUGUCCUUGUGGGCAGGGUAUGUUGUGUUCCUGCAGAACAUGAUGUCCAUGUGUGCAGGUAAAUUUUUUAUGAUACACUAUUACAUUUUGUACAACCACGAA